UACGUAGGGACCAAGCGUUGUUCGGAUUUACUGGGCGUAAAGGGCGCGUAGGCGGCGUGGUAAGUCAAUUGUGAAAUCUCCGAGCUUAACUCGGAACGGUCAAUUGAUACUGCUGUGCUAGAGUACAGAAGGGGCAAUCGGAAUUCUUGGUGUAGCGGUGAAAUGCGUAGAUAUCAAGAGGAACACCUGAGGUGAAGACGGGUUGCUGGGCUGAUACUGACGCUGAUGCGCGAAAGCUAGGGUAGCAAACAGG
rnacentral:rRNA from 1 species